rnacentral:rRNA from 3 species
GGGUUGUGAGGUUAAGCGACUAAGCGUACACGGUGGAUGCCCUGGCAGUCAGAGGCGAUGAAGGGCGUACUAAUCUGCGAUAAGCGCCGGUAAGGUGAUAUGAACCGUUAUAACCGGCGAUACCCGAAUGGGGAAACCCAGUGUGAUUCGUCACACUAUCAUUAACUGAAUCCAUAGGUUAAUGAGGCGAACCGGGGGAACUGAAACAUCUAAGUACCCCGAGGAAAAGAAAUCAACCGAGAUUCCCCCAGUAGCGGCGAGCGAACGGGGAGGAGCCCAGAGCCUGAAUCAGCAUGUGUGUUAGUGGAAGCGUCUGGAAAGGCGCGCGAUACAGGGUGACAGCCCCGUACACAAAAGCGCAUGUGCUGUGAGCUCGAUGAGUAGGGCGGGACACGUGGUAUCCUGUCUGAAUAUGGGGGGACCAUCCUCCAAGGCUAAAUACUCCUGACUGACCGAUAGUGAACCAGUACCGUGAGGGAAAGGCGAAAAGAACCCCGGCGAGGGGAGUGAAAAAGAACCUGAAACCGUGUACGUACAAGCAGUGGGAGCACAGGUUUACCUG